rnacentral:rRNA from 1 species
GACAGAGGUGCCAAGCGUUAGGCGGAAUCACUGGGCGUAAAGGGCGCGUAGGCGGCCCGGCAAGUCAGUGGUGAAAGCCCGAGGCUCAACUUCGGGUCGGCCACUGAUACUGCGGGGCUCGAGUCGACUAGAGGCAGAUGGAAUUCCGGGUGUAGCGGUGGAAUGCGUAGAGAUCCGGAAGAACACCGGUGGCGAAGGCGGCUCACUGGCCCGUUACUGACGCUCAGGCGCGACAGCGUGGGGAUCAAACAGG